rnacentral:rRNA from 1 species
UACGUAGGUGGCGAGCGUUAUCCGGAAUCAUUGGGCGUAAAGAGGGAGCAGGCGGCAUCCAGGGUCUGCGGUGAAAGCCCGAAGCUAAACUUCGGUAAGCCGUGGAAACCGGGGAGCUAGAGAGCAGAAGAGGAUCGUGGAAUUCCAUGUGUAGCGGUGAAAUGCGUAGAUAUAUGGAGGAACACCAGUGGCGAAGGCGACGAUCUGGGCUGCAACUGACGCUCAGUCCCGAAAGCGUGGGGAGCAAA